GACGAACGCUGGCGGCGUGCUUAACACAUGCAAGUCGAACGGAAAGGCCCUGCUUUUGUGGGGUACUCGAGUGGCGAACGGGUGAGUAACAAGUGAGUAACCUGCCCUUGACUUUGGGAUAACUUCAGGAAACUGGGGCUAAUACCGGAUAGAAGCUCCUGCUGCAUGGUGGGGGUUGGAAAGUUUCGGCGGUUGGGGAUGGACUCGCGGCUUAUCAGCUUGUUGGUGGGGUAGUGGCUUACCAAGGCUUUGAAGGGUAGCCGGCCUGAGAGGGUGACCGGCCACAUUGGGCCUGAGAUACGGCCCAGACUCCUACGGGAGGCAGCAGUGGGGAAUAUUGCACAAUGGGCGGAAGCCUGAUGCAGCAACGCCGCGUGCGGGAUGACUGCCUUCGGGUUGUAAACCGCUUUCGCCUGUGACGAAGAGUGAGUGACGGUAAUGGGUAAAGAAGCACCGGCUAACUACGUG
rnacentral:rRNA from 1 species